GAUGAACGCUGGCGGCGUGCCUAAUACAUGCAAGUCGAGCGAACGGACGAGAAGCUUGCUUCUCUGAUGUUAGCGGCGGACGGGUGAGUAACACGUGGAUAACCUACCUAUAAGACUGGGAUAACUUCGGGAAACCGGAGCUAAUACCGGAUAAUAUUUUGAACCGCAUGGUUCAAAAGUGAAAGACGGUCUUGCUGUCACUUAUAGAUGGAUCCGCGCUGCAUUAGCUAGUUGGUAAGGUAACGGCUUACCAAGGCAACGAUGCAUAGCCGACCUGAGAGGUGAAUCGCCCACACGGAAACGGGGACCCGUCCAGACUCCUACGGGAGGCAGCAGUAGGGAAUCUUCCGCAAUGGGCGAAAGCCUGACGGAGCAACGCCGCGUGAGUGAUGAAGGUCUUCGGAUCGUAAAACUCUGUUAUUAGGGAAGAACAUAUGUGUAAGUAACUGUGCACAUCUUGACGGUACCUAAUCAGAAAGCCACGGCUAACUACGUG
rnacentral:rRNA from 1 species